UCUAAACACAUCUCCUGAAUGCAACUCAGACGCUUUAAUUAAACUAAGGCUUCCCAGAUAGAGGGCCUC
rnacentral:tRNA from 1 species